CCUACGGGAGGCAGCAGUAGGGAAUCUUCCACAAUGGACGAAAGUCUGAUGGAGCAACGCCGCGUGUGUGAUGAAGGGUUUCGGCUCGUAAAACACUGUUGUAAGAGAAGAAUGACAUUGAGAGUAACUGUUCAGUGUGUUACGGUAUCUUACCAGAAAGGAACGGCUAAAUACGUACCAGCAGCCGCGGUAAUACGUAUGUUCCAAGCGUUAUCCGGAUUUAUUGGGCGUAAAGCGAGCGUAGACGGUUGUUUAAGUGCGGAGUGAAAGCCGACCGCUGAACUGUGGAAAUGCUUUCGAAACUGGAUAACUUGAGUGCAGUAGAGGUGAGUGGAACGCCAUGUGUAGCGGUGAAAUGCGUAGAUAUAUGGAAGAACACCAGUGGCGAAGGCGGCUCUCUGGACUGUAACUGACGUUGAGGCUCGAAAGUGUGGGUAGCAAACAGGAUUAGAUACCCGAGUAGUC
rnacentral:rRNA from 1 species